AUUUAAACAAUAUAAGUAGUAAAAUUUUUUAUUAAAACUUUAAUAGAAUGGCGGCAUUUUAUCUUAUUAGAGGAACUCGUUUUUUAAUCGAUAACCCCCGUUAAUUUUCACUUAAAUUUAAAUUUUAUAUACCUCCAUCUUAAAAAAAUUUUAUUAUAAAUUUUUUUUUACAAAAAUUCUACUAAGUUAGGUCAUGGUGUAAACUAUAUAUAAGAUAAAAUAAGUUACUUUAAAUAAAAUUUAUAGAAAAUAAAAUAAAUUUUAACUACAAAAGGAUUUAAAAGUAAUAAAUAUAAUAUUAAUUAUAUAUGAAUAAAUAAAUAAAUGUGC
rnacentral:rRNA from 1 species